rnacentral:rRNA from 2 species
CAACAGGGAUUGCCCCAGUAACGGCGAGUGAAGCGGCAACAGCUCAAAUUUGAAAUCUGGCCCCCCCCGGGGGCCCGAGUUGUAAUUUGCAGAGGAUGCUUUUGGCGAGGCGCCUUCCGAGUUCCCUGGAACGGGACGCCGCAGAGGGUGAGAGCCCCGUCUGGUCGGACGCCAAGCCAGUGUAAAGCUCCUUCGACGAGUCGAGUAGUUUGGGAAUGCUGCUCUAAAUGGGAGGUAUAUGUCUUCUAAAGCUAAAUAUUGGCCAGAGACCGAUAGCGCACAAGUAGAGUGAUCGAAAGAUGAAAAGCACUUUGAAAAGAGGGUUAAACAGUACGUGAAAUUGUUGAAAGGGAAGCGCUCGUGACCAGACUCGGGCCCGGCGGAUCAUCCGGCGUUCUCGCCGGUGCGCUCCGCCGGGCCCGGGCCAGCAUCAGCUCGCCGCGGGGGACAAAGGCUUCGGGAACGUGGCUCCCACGGGAGUGUUAUAGCCCGCUGCGCAAUGCCCCGGGGCGGGCUGAGGUUCGCGCUCCGCAAGGAUGCUGGCGUAAUGGUCACCAGCGACCCGUCUUGAAACACGGACCAAGGAGUCGUCUUCGUAUGCGAGUGUUCGGGUGUGAAACCCCUACGCGUAAUGAAAGUGAACGCAGGUGAGAGCCUCGGCGCAUCAUCGACCGAUCCUGAUGUUCUCGGAUGGAUUUGAGUAAGAGCAUACGGGGCCGGACCCGAAAGAAGGUGAACUAUGCCUGUGUAGGGUGAAGCCAGAGGAAACUCUGGUGGAGGCUCGCAGCGGUUCUGACGUGCAAAUCGAUCGUCAAACAUGGGCAUGGGGGCGAAAGAC